rnacentral:lncRNA from 13 species
CUCUGAGCACUUGGCAGAGCGGGACUGGAGCGAGAGAGAAAGCAGACGUUCCAACAUUUUUUCAAUCCGCUCCACGCUCCAGCCAAAUUCUGCUCCUCUCCAGCUCCACUACUCCACUCACAUCCUCUGAUUCACAUGGCACCAACGGAAACCCUUGUUUUUGUCUUCUGUUGCAAAAUCUUUUGCUAUGUAUUAAUGAACUGUCUUCAUCUGGUGUUCUACCUGGUUUCACCUGGUAUUUUGCUUGGUAUUUCACAUGGUGUUGUACCAGGUAAGCGUGAUCGGUAUCCUGACUACAGUGAGGGCAGCGCGGCUGGAGCGGAGAGCAGACGGUACUCUAACGACUCCACCAAGUCAGAAAGUUUACUUCACAAACCCUGGAGACAGAAAGCCAGGAGCUCGCCCACCCCUGCAUACCCACCGAACAUAGACCGGUAUAUAUACCUGGAAAUUGCUUACAUAGCUAACGAAGCAGAUGAACACACACACACACACACACACACACACACACACACACACCUACCUGUGGGACUGACCUGUGUGUAUCCUCAGACUUUAAACAACCAGAUAGACUCUGGGAAAUAUGCACGCCCUCAUCCGUUACUGUAUCCUACAGUCUUUGGAAAAAAAGUGCUAUCUAGAACCUAAAAGGGUCCUUUUGCUGACUCCAUUGGAGAAAUGUUUGACGAACCCUUUUUGCUAAGAUUAUACAUGAAAAUGGACAAAAAUGAA